rnacentral:misc_RNA from 1 species
ACUUUGAGCAAACAUAGGGCU